rnacentral:rRNA from 1 species
UGGGGAAUAUUGCACAACGGGCGCAAGCCUGAUGCAGCCAUGCCGCGUGUAUGAAGAAGGCCUUCGGGUUGUAAAGUACUUUCAGCGGGGAGGAAGGGAGUAAAGUUAAUACCUUUGCUCAUUGACGUUACCCGCAGAAGAAGCACCGGCUAACUCCGUGCCAGCAGCCGCGGUAAUACGGAGGGUGCAAGCGUUAAUCGGAAUUACUGGGCGUAAAGCGCACGCAGGCGGUUUGUUAAGUCAGAUGUGAAAUCCCCUGGCUCAACCUGGGAACUGACUCUGAUACUGGCAAGCUUGAAUCUCGUAGAGCGGGGUAGAAUUCCAGGUGUAGCGGUGCAAUGCGUAGAGACCUGGAGGAAUACCGGUGGCUAAGGCGGCCCCCUGGACAAAGACUGACGCUCAGGUGCGAAAGCGUGGGGAGCAAACAGG